ensembl:lncRNA
UCCCCCUGUUUCGUUCACCUUCGAUUUCAGUCUGGGAAGCCGCGGGGAUCCAGGGGCGACGGCUGGAAAACAGCCCAAAGAGGUAGCUGGAGUGCGCCCUGGGCGCGGGAAAAAUGAGACCGGGAGGACGCGGUCGCUCGCUCCGCUGCUGCCUGGCGGCGCCUGACACCAGCGGGAUCUCAACCCCGGGCGCUGCGUGUGCCAAGCGAUGCCAGGCCCCACUGUCAAAAAGUUUGCCCCAUCAAAGGUCCUCUCUGUCUCUCCAUCGCACUUACCUGUUGACACUGGAUCCUAGGACACUGGAAGAUCAAGCUUCUCUAGAAUCAGAUGCCUGAGUGGUUCCCUGGUGGCUCAGAUGGUAAUAAAUCUGCCUUCAAUGCAGAAGACCUGGGUUCCAUCCCUGGGUCAGGAAGAUUCUCUGGAGAAGGGAAUGGCUACUCACUCCAGUAUUCUUGCCUGGAGAACUCCAUGGGCUAGAGGAGCCUGGCCAGCUACAGCUCAUAGACUUGCAAAGAGUUGGACAUCACUGAGUGACUAACACUUUCACUUUCAUUAUCUCCAACUUCCUCUUAUCCUUUAGGCUGUCAAUUAAUACAUUUACCUCCAAAACACAUCUCAUCACAUCCACACUGCUGCAGUCCUCAUCCAAGCUACCCAUGUUCCCAUCGUGGACUAAUGCAGAAGCUUUCCAAGUGGUCUCCUUGCUUCUACUGUAAUUUCCACCGCUCCUCAGUUAUAACUUCAGCUGUGUUUGAAGGCUUCCCUGGUGGCUCAGCAGCAAAAAAUCUGCCUGCAAUGCAGGGGAGAUGGGUUGGAUUCCUGGAUCAAGAUGAUCCCCUGGAGAAGAAGAUGGCAACCCACUCCAGUGCUCUUGCCUGGGAAAUCCCAUGGACAGAGAAGCCAGGUGGGCUACAAC